rnacentral:rRNA from 1 species
UCGGGAAUUUUGGGCAAUGGGCGAAAGCCUGACCCAGCAACGCCGCGUGAAGGAUGAAGUAUUUCGGUAUGUAAACUUCGAAAGAAUAGGAAGAAUAAAUGACGGUACUAUUUAUAAGGUCCGGCUAACUACGUGCCAGCAGCCGCGGUAAUACGUAGGGACCAAGCGUUGUUCGGAUUUACUGGGCGUAAAGGGCGCGUAGGCGGCAUGACAAGUCACUUGUGAAAUCUCUGGGCUUAACCCAGAACGGCCAAGUGAUACUGUCGCGCUAGAGUGCAGAAGGGGCAAUCGGAAUUCUUGGUGUAGCGGUGAAAUGCGUAGAUAUCAAGAGGAACACCGAUGGCGAAGGCAGCCCCCUGGGAUAACACUGACGCUCAUGCACGAAAGCGUGGGGAGCAAACAGGAUUAGAUACCCAUGUAGUCCCUGAGCGGGCUGGCAAGGCGCAU